rnacentral:sRNA from 1 species
GAUCCCGCCGCCUAACUCCUCGGCCUGGGAGACAGGAAAAGCGGUCCUGUUUGGGAACAGUAAAAGCAGGGCAAGGAAAGGAAGGAGCGGCAGAAAGGAGGGGUGAGUCGAGGACACAGGGGCAGCCCGAGAAUGUGGAGGAGCCGGGUCCUGCGCGGUCUAAGCCAGGCUCGGCUCUGGUCCAGGAACUCGGACGCGGGCUCGCCGGCUCUCCGCGCGCGGGAAGUCGAGCCCAGGACGCCGCCUUCUGGCCGGCGCGCUGACCCGGUGCCCCGACUCGGAGCCUGCGGUCUGCCUGGAUCUGUCCUAAACCUCGCGGGCUGCACCCGCGGCCUGAGUGGCUGGGUGUGUGCCAGAGGAUACGGGACUAGGCCCAGCUCCGGGAACCUGGAAAUGUGGCCCGCUUCUCAGUGGCUUCCUGUUCAUGCGCUUG